AAUAAGUGCAGUUUUGCACUAUUCAUGUUUAACGUUUGACCAUCCGUCUUAUUUGAAAUUUUUUUAUGAUUAUUAUUUUUAUUGCUAUUAGAUGAUAAAACAUGAAUAGUACUUUAUGUGUGACUAAAUGUUUUUAAUUUUUUCACAAAUUUUUCAAAUAAGACGGACGGUCAAACGUUGAACGUGAAUAGUGUAAAACUGCACUUAUU
rnacentral:pre_miRNA from 1 species